ACGAACGCUGGCGGCAGGCUUAACACAUGCAAGUCGAGCGCCCCGCAAGGGGAGCGGCAGACGGGUGAGUAACGCGUGGGAAUCUACCUUUUGCUACGGAACAACAGUUGGAAACGACUGCUAAUACCGUAUGUGCCCUUCGGGGGAAAGAUUUAUCGGCAAAGGAUGAGCCCGCGUUGGAUUAGCUAGUUGGUGAGGUAAAGGCUCACCAAGGCGACGAUCCAUAGCUGGUCUGAGAGGAUGAUCAGCCACACUGGGACUGAGACACGGCCCAGACUCCUACGGGAGGCAGCAGUGGGGAAUAUUGGACAAUGGGCGCAAGCCUGAUCCAGCCAUGCCGCGUGAGUGAUGAAGGCCCUAGGGUUGUAAAGCUCUUUCACCGGUGAAGAUAAUGACGGUAACCGGAGAAGAAGCCCCGGCUAACUUCGU
rnacentral:rRNA from 1 species